rnacentral:lncRNA from 1 species
UCAUCCAGCUCUGGAUAAGACUUCCUCUUAGUGUCUUCGCUCGAAGACAUAGGAUUUGGUUGAGUAUCACUUCAGUCACUCUGACUUUGUUCACUUGAACCCCACUUAACAGUACGGUGGUUCCUAUUACUCAAUAAGAAGAAAAGGAAACUACGAAACAACUAUGUCUUCGCACUCCAUAGUCUGCAAGUGAAUAGCUUCACGCGUUAUAAUCUUUGUCGUGAAUGUCUUCACGAACCACCAUUGUCUUCAAUGUCUUCACACAUUUUUAGGGGUCAUCUUGGUAGGAUAAACUGAAUCAAUGAGGGACACUUCCUGUGCUAUCCUGCAAUUCUCACAAACACAUUAGUCCCUCAACCACAUUUGUCUUCAAUACUCCAAAACCAACUAGGGGUGGCACUAGAUGCACUUACACAUAUUGCGCCUUGAACUUCUCCUCAUCUUUGAUGACCUUCCAACAAUGUGAGAGGCUGAAGCACUUGCCAUUGUGUUGG